CGUGUAGGCGGCCUCUUAAGUCUGAUGUGAAAGCCCGGGGCUUACCCCCGGAAGGGCAUUGGAAACUGGGAGGCUAGAGUACCGGAGAGGAAGGUGGAAUUCCUGGUGUAGCGGUGAAAUGCGUGGAUAUCAGGAGGAACACCGGUGGCGAAGGCGGCCUUCUGGACGGAUACUGACGCUGAGACGCGAAAGCGUGGGGAGCAAACAGGAUUAGAUACCCUGGUAGUCCACGCUGUAAACGAUGGGCACUAGGUGUUCGGGGUAUUGACCCCCUGAGUGCCGCAGCUAACGCAUUAAGUGCCCCGCCUGGGGACUACGGCCGCAAGGUUAA
rnacentral:rRNA from 1 species